GAUGAACGCUGGCGGCGUGCCUAAUACAUGCAAGUCGAGCGAACAGACGAGGAGCUUGCUCCUUUGACGUUAGCGGCGGACGGGUGAGUAACACGUGGGUAACCUACCUAUAAGACUGGGAUAACUUCGGGAAACCGGAGCUAAUACCGGAUAAUAUUUCGAACCGCAUGGUUCGAUAGUGAAAGAUGGCUUUGCUAUCACUUAUAGAUGGACCUGCGCCGUAUUAGCUAGUUGGUAAGGUAACGGCUUACCAAGGCAACGAUACGUAGCCGACCUGAGAGGGUGAUCGGCCACACUGGAACUGAGACACGGUCCAGACUCCUACGGGAGGCAGCAGUAGGGAAUCUUCCGCAAUGGGCGAAAGCCUGACGUAGCAACGCCGCGUGAGUGAUGAAGGUCUUCGGAUCGUAAAACUCUGUUAUUAGGGAAGAACAAACGUGUAAGUAACUGUGCACGUCUUGACGGUACCUAAUCAGAAAGCCACGGCUAACUACGUG
rnacentral:rRNA from 1 species